rnacentral:rRNA from 1 species
UAACACAUGCAAGUCGAGGGGCAGCAUGAACUUAGCUUGCUAAGUUUGAUGGCGACCGGCGCACGGGUGAGUAACGCGUAUCCAACCUUCCGUACACUCAGGAAUAGCCUUUCGAAAGAAAGAUUAAUACCUGAUGGUAUGAUGAGAUUGCAUGAAAUCAUCAUUAAAGAUUCAUCGGUGUACGAUGGGGAUGCGUUCCAUUAGAUAGUAGGCGGGGUAACGGCCCACCUAGUCUACGAUGGAUAGGGGUUCUGAGAGGAAGGUCCCCCACAUUGGAACUGAGACACGGUCCAAACUCCUACGGGAGGCAGCAGUGAGGAAUAUUGGUCAAUGGGCGCGAGCCUGAACCAGCCAAGUAGCGUGAAGGAUGAAGGUCCUACGGAUUGUAAACUUCUUUUAUAAGGGAAUAAAGUCACCCACGUGUGGGUGUUUGUAUGUACCUUAUGAAUAAGCAUCGGCUAACUCCGUGCCAGCAGCCGCGGUAAUACGGAGGAUGCGAGCGUUAUCCGGAUUUAUUGGGUUUAAAGGGAGCGUAGACGGGUCGUUAAGUCAGCUGUGAAAGUUCGGGGCUCAACCUUGAAAUUGCAGUUGAUACUGGCGUCCUUGAGUACGGUUGAGGCAGGCGGAAUUCGUGGUGUAGCGGUGAAAUGCUUAGAUAUCACGAAGAGGUCCGAUUG